CAAUAGCGUAUAUUAAAGUUGUUGCGGUUAAAAAGCUCGUAGUUGGAUUUCUGCCGAGGACGACCGGUCCGCCCUCCGGGUGAGUAUCUGGUUUGGCCUGGGCAUCUUCUUGGAGAACGUAGCUGCACUUGACUGUGUGGUGCGGUGUCCAGGACUUUUACUUUGAGGAAAUUAGAGUGUUUCAAGCAGGCACACGCCUUGAAUACAUUAGCAUGGAAUAAUAAGAUAGGACCUCGGUUCUAUUUUGUUGGUUUCUAGAGCUGAGGUAAUGAUUAAUAGGGAUAGUUGGGGGCAUUCGUAUUUAACUGUCAGAGGUGAGAUUCUUGGAUUUGUUAAAGACGGACUACUGCGAAAGCAUUUGCCAAGGAUGUUUUCAUUGA
rnacentral:rRNA from 1 species